rnacentral:rRNA from 1 species
GACGAACGCUGGCGGCGUGCUUAACACAUGCAAGUCGAACGGUAAGGCCCCAGCUUGCUGGGGUACACGAGUGGCGAACGGGUGAGUAACACGUGGGUGACCUGCCCCGCACUUCGGGAUAAGCCUGGGAAACUGGGUCUAAUACCGGAUAGGACCGCACCGUGAGGGUGUGGUGGAAAGUUUUUCGGUGUGGGAUGGGCCCGCGGCCUAUCAGCUUGUUGGUGGGGUAAUGGCCUACCAAGGCGGCGACGGGUAGCCGGCCUGAGAGGGUGGACGGCCACAUGGGGACUGAGACACGGCCCAGACUCCGACGGGGGGCAGCAGUGGGGAAUAUUGCCCAAUGGGCGGAAGCCUGAUGCAGCGACGCCGCGUGGGGGAUGACGGCCUUCGGGUUGUAAACUCCUUUCCCCAUCGACGAAGGUUUUCUGACGGUAGAUGGAAAAGAAGCCCCGGCUAACUACGG